UACGUAGGGUGCGAGCGUUGUCCGGAAUUAUUGGGCGUAAAGAGCUCGUAGGCGGUGUGUCACGUCGGCCGUGAAAACCUGCAGCUUAACUGUGGGCGUGCGGUCGAUACGGGCAUCACUGGAGUUCGGCAGGGGAGACUGGAAUUCCUGGUGUAGCGGUGAAAUGCGCAGAUAUCAAGAGGAACACCUGCGGCGAAGGCGGGUUGCUGGGCCGACACUGACGCUGAUGCGCGAAAGCUAGGGGAGCGAACGGG
rnacentral:rRNA from 1 species